rnacentral:lncRNA from 1 species
CCACGUUGGCGAUCCGCGUGGGUGCGAUCCGACGGCCCAGAUCAAUCACGCGAUCGGACGGCCCAGAUUCAAUCGCACGGACGGCCCAGAUUCAAUCAAAAACGAACGGCCCAGAUUAAAACAAAAUGAACGGCUGUGAUCAAAAGGCAAGGGGUUAUAAAUAGAACCCCCACACCAGACCCCAAACCCUAGCCGCCAGCCGCUCGCCGGAGAAGACGAACCAGAGGCCGACCGCCGCCACCCGCCGCCACUCGCCGCCGCACCGGGGAAAUUUCCGACCGCCGAUCGAGGUAAAUUUCAUACCCCCGACUCGUUUUUCCCCACUGAUUCCUCCUAUGGCCAAAUCGAAACCGAAAUCCC